GCCACCACGGAGGACAGGCAGAGGUGCCUGCCAGGGCAGGGAGAGGCCUGGGCCCCAUCAGUUUGUUGGAUCUGAGGCUGCUGGCCACUGGGGUCAGGCCUGGGGCACAGGGGGCGGUGCCUGGGAGCAGCUCCCUAAGAAGACAGUUCUGGCCCAGGAGCACUGGCCCUGACCACAGGCAACACAGUGGCCAGGUUGUUUUGUCUUUCAUGGGGUCUUCCCUGGGAAUUCCCAGAAUGAAGCCAAGAAUGCCACACAAAGAUCCAUGGGAAUCAGCCAGGCCCCAACAGAGCUCUGCCGAUCAAGCAGCAGAUACCUUCUCUCUCAGCCAGACUUCCUCUUGCCUCUAAUCUGGUGUCCCUGGGAUGAGCGGGCACUUUGUAAAAUCCCACAGCCUCACAGGAGCAGUACCCGCCUGGUCAGUGAGCAGUUGAGGGUGGAUGUACAAGUCGGUGGGCAGCCACAGCGGUGGGCAGGGCCUUAGAGGGAGCCCACUGCCCAGCCAGUGACUCAGCUGAGGAGGAAUGGAAGCGGCUGCCCAGGAGGGGUGGGGGCCAGGCAGGCCACCCAGCCAAGCCACCGGAGCCUCAGCCUGUCCAGUGGAAAGAAUAGCAGAAGGCGGGCAGCGGUCUGCAUAGGGGCGACGCCAAGGAGGAUCUUGCGCACGUUCUCCGCACCGGUCACGCGGAUUAGCGGCCGCCCCAGCAAGUGUGUCUUGAAAACAUUGCCGUACUUCUCCCGGCGCGACGACUGGAAGCCAGAACCCUGCAGGAAUACACCAGAAGCCUCUCAGGGCUCACAGAGGACCUUGCAUCCAGCCCCACCCUAGGCACCCUUCCUUGGGUUCCUGUCAUUCUCUCUCUCUCUCUCUCUCUCUCUCUCUCUCUCUCUCUCUCUCUCUCUCUCUCUCUCUCUCUCUCUCUCUCUCUCUCUCUCUCUCUCUCUCUCUCUCUCUCUCUCGGGUUUUAUUUUUCACGGCGUGCAUUAGGACUGGGAAGUGGGGCCUGGAGGAUAAUAAAUAAUGUGGGAGCACGAAGAUGCAGGGGCACCCACGGAAGGCUGCUUUUAGUAAUGGCUUUGCGGCAGCGCGGGGGGGGGGGCUAUCCCCGACGGCUGGACCUGAAGUUGGAGCCUGAUCCCCUACCCCUGCGCGGCGGAGCCUCUCGGAAUAAAUAUUUCCAGGCUCCAGGCCACGGGCUGGCGAGACCCCGCGGGGUGGCCGCAGGCCAAAGAUUAUUUAUAGCGGCGAGUUGUGCGUGCCCGGAGGCUGUCCCCAGAGAUGGGGGUUGGAGUUUCCUCUCUGCUCCGGUGUGGCCCUCCGUGGGCUCCGCAGGGUGGAGUCUUGGGCCCAGAGCCACGACUCUCCUGAAACAUUUGUCCAGGGAAUAACUGGGACGAACUUUCGUCACCGCCCUGAAAUUCGGAACUGGAGCACCAGGAAGGUGCUUAUGAACGGCGGUGGGAUGGGGCGCGGUGACCCGCGCAGGUAACCGGAUCUCGGGGGCCCCUGGGCGAGCCCUGUGCUCCACAGUUAGCGGCCUGUGGUGCCGGAAACCUUCAUCGCAUUCGCCACCCAGUCUGCCUUAACCCUUCUCCCGCCAGGGUGCACCGAGUGCAAAGUGGCGGAGAGCCACCUGUCCGCCCCUCCGGACUGCAGAACUGUGGCCGGGCUCCCGCCUUCGCGUCGUGGUCUCCCAAGGACACGUCUGCUCCCUCCACCGAGAGAUAGAAAGCUCCCCUUUCCUAGGUUGACACCACCCCCUUUACUUUCCUUUCUCCCAGGGAAACUAUACUCCAGUUAGAAGUGAACACGCCCCAGAUGCGAAAAGUGACUACAGAACCCAGAUUCUUAAUGGCUUUUCCACAUGCUUCUGGGCCCGGCGCGCGACAGGGAGCGAGGCGGGAUCCCCCGCGCCACCUGGAGGAGCCGAGUCGGGGACGCCCCCAUCCAGACGCCGUUUUAGACGGCGCCGGCUCCUUUAAGAGAAGUCGGGCGGAGGUGGGGUGCGGCAGAGGGGGGCUCAGAGCGGGGAUCCCGUCCUCGUCUGCCGCGCAGUCUCCCUCGGUCGGUCUCACUCCGUCUCUCCUCUCCCGUCUUUGCCUCUGUUUUUCUUUUCUUUCGACACAAAAGUUGGGUUGUGAAUUUUCCGAGGUCGCCGCCGCCUCGCCCCUCGCCCCCGCCUCUGAUCUGCCUAACUAUAAUUAAAGUGCGUUUUUUGUGGCUUUAA